rnacentral:rRNA from 1 species
AAUCAACGCUGGCGGCGUGCCUCAGACAUGCAAGUCGAACGAUUAAAGCUCUCUUCGGAGAGUGCAUAGAGUGGCGCACGGGUGAGUAACACGUAAGUAAUCUACCCUCGAGUGGGGAAUAACGUCCGGAAACGGACGCUAAUACCGCAUAAUGCAGCGGCACCGCAAGGUGACAGUUGUUAAAGAUUUAUCGCUUGAGGAGGAGCUUGCGGCAGAUUAGCUAGUUGGUAAGGUAAUGGCUUACCAAGGCUACGAUCUGUAACCGGUCAAAGAGGACGGUCGGUCACACUGACACUGAAUAACGGGUCAGACUCCUACGGGAGGCAGCAGUCGGGAAUUUUGGGCAAUGGGCGAAAGCCUGACCCAGCAACGCCGCGUGAAGGAUGAAGUAUUUCGGUAUGUACACUUCGAAAGAAUAGGAAGAAUUAAUGACGGUACUAUUUAUAAGGUCCGGCUAACUACGUGCCAGCAGCCGCGGUAAAAC